rnacentral:rRNA from 1 species
AGAACGAACGCUGGCGGCAGGCUUAACACAUGCAAGUCGAACGCCCUCGCAAGGGGGAGUGGCAGACGGGUGAGUAACACGUGGGAACAUACCCUUCGGUUCGGAACAACGCCGGGAAACUGGCGCUAAUACCGGAUACGGCUUUUGAGCGAAAGAUUUAUCGCCGAAGGAUUGGCCCGCGUUCGAUUAGCUUGUUGGUGAGGUAACGGCUCACCAAGGCGACGAUCGAUAGCUGGUCUGAGAGGAUGGCCAGCCACAUUGGGACUGAGACACGGCCCAAACUCCUACGGGAGGCAGCAGUGGGGAAUAUUGGACAAUGGCGCAAGCCUGAUCCAGCCAUGCCGCGUGAGUGAUGACGGCCUUAGGGUUGUAAAGCUCUUUCGCACGCGACGAUAAUGACGGUAGCGUGAGAAGAAAGCCCCGGCUAACUUCGUGCCAGCAGCCGC